GUGCCAGCCGCCGCGGUAAUACGGAGGGUGCAAGCGUUAUCCGGAUUCACUGGGUUUAAAGGGUGCGUAGGCGGGUAGGUAAGUCAGUGGUGAAAUCCCCGAGCUUAACUUGGGAACUGCCGUUGAUACUAUCUAUCUUGAAUUCUGUGGAGGUAAGCGGAAUAUGUCAUGUAGCGGUGAAAUGCUUAGAUAUGACAUAGAACACCUAUUGCGAAGGCAGCUUGCUACACAGUUAUUGACGCUGAGGCACGAAAGCGUGGGGAUCAAACAGGAUUAGAUACCCGUGUAGUCC
rnacentral:rRNA from 1 species